rnacentral:rRNA from 1 species
AUUGAACGCUGGCGGCAGGCCUAACACAUGCAAGUCGAGCGGAGCGGCGGACGGGUGAGUAAUGCCUAGGAAUCUGCCUGGUAGCGGGGGAUAACGUCCGGAAACGGGCGCUAAUACCGCAUACUAUCAGAUGAGCCUAGGUCGGAUUAGCUAGAUGGUGGGGUAAAGGCCUACCAAGGCGACGAUCCGUAACUGGUCGGAGAGGAUGAUCAGUCACACUGGAACUGGGACACGGUCCAGACGCCUACGGGAGGCAGCAGUGGGUAAUAGUGGACAAUGGGCGAAAGCCUGAGCCAGCCAUGACGCGUGUGUGAAGAAGGGCUUCGGAUUGUAAAGCACUGGAAGUUGGGAGGCGGUACCAACAGAAUAAGCACCGGCUAACUUCGUGACAGCAGCCGCGGUAAUUC